AUUUUUAAAGGUAGACGGUUUAGCAGCACCAUGGAAACCGAAUGAAUUGCACAGCUCCUGGACGCCAUAUCAAAGUAUUUGGUAAAGCUAUACUAUGUCUCGCGAAGGUUGGAGAGGAGAUAUACUUUGAGGGUGAAGCUAGUGGGCUCGCUGUACGUACGGUUAAUCUAUCCCGCUCUGCCUAUGGAUCCUUUCUUUUUCAAACUUCCUUUUUCACAAAAUUCUC